GGCUCUGUGGCGUAAUGGUAGCGCGUCCGACUCCAGAUCGGAAGGUUACGUGUUCAAAUCACGUCAGGGUCA